rnacentral:rRNA from 1 species
GACGAACGCUGGCGGCGUGCCUAAUACAUGCAAGUCGAACGCUUCUUUUUCCACCGGAGCUUGCUCCACCGGAAAAAGAGGAGUGGCGAACGGGUGAGUAACACGUGGGUAACCUGCCCAUCAGAAGGGGAUAACACGUGGAAACAGGUGCUAAUACCGUAUAACAAUCGAAACCGCAUGGUUUUGAUUUGAAAGGCGCUUUCGGGUGUAGCUGAUGGAUGGACGCGCGGUGCAUUAGCUAGUUGGUGAGGUAACGGCUCACCAAGGCCACGAUGCAUAGCCGACCUGAGAGGGUGAUCGGCCACAUUGGGACUGAGACACGGCCCAAACUCCUACGGGAGGCAGCAGUAGGGAAUCUUCGGCAAUGGACGAAAGUCUGACCGAGCAACGCCGCGUGAGUGAAGAAGGUUUUCGGAUCGUAAAACUCUGUUGUUAGAGAAGAACAAGGAUGAGAGUAACUGUUCAUCCCUUGACGGUAUCUAACCAGAAAGCCACGGCUAACCACGUGCCAGCCGCCGCCGUAA